CCUACGGGAGGCAGCAGUGGGGGAUAUUGCACAAUGGGGGGAACCCUGAUGCAGCGACGCCGCGUGGGUGAAGAAGCGCCUCGGCGCGUAAAGCCCUGUCAGCAGGGAAGAAAAUGACGGUACCUGAAGAAGAAGCCCCGGCUAACUACUUGCCAGCAGCCGCGGUAAUACGUAGGGGGCAGGCGUUAUCCGGAUUUACUGGGUGGAAAGGGGGCGCAGACGGCGAUGCAAGCCAGGAGUGAAAGCCCGGGGCCCAACCCCGGGACUGCUCUUGGAACUGCGUGGCUGGAGUGCAGGAGGGGUGGGCGGAAUUCCUGGUGUAGCGGUGAAAUGCGUAGAUAUCAGGAGGAACACCGGUGGCGAAGGCGGCCUGCUGGACUGCAACUGACGUUGAGGCCCGAAAGCGUGGGGAGCAAACAGGAUUAGAUACCCUGGUAGUC
rnacentral:rRNA from 1 species